GACGAACGCUGGCGGCGUGCUUAACACAUGCAAGUCGAGCGGUAAGGCCCUUUCGGGGGUACACGAGCGGCGAACGGGUGAGUAACACGUGGGUGACCUGCCCUCAGCUCUGGGAUAAGCCUGGGAAACCGGGUCUAAUACUGGAUAUGACUCCAUGACGCAUGUUGUGGGGUGGAAAGCCUUGUGCGGCUGAGGAUGGGCCCGCGGCCCAUCAGCUUGUUGGUGGGGUGAGGCCUACCAAGGCGACGAC
rnacentral:rRNA from 1 species